GGAAAUUUAAAAACUACCUUUAGAUCAAGAAAUAAAUGUUUGAGAUUCGUUCACGUCACCAUGACUCCAUGAGUUAAAAUUUUAACUUGCAGAUUCACUCAGAAGUUAAAAUUUUACUUAGAGUUAUUUUAACUCAUAGUGACGUGGACGAAACCUGAACAUCCACUUCUCGAUCCAACGGUAGUUUUCAAAUUUCC
rnacentral:pre_miRNA from 1 species